rnacentral:rRNA from 1 species
AACGAACGCUGGCGGCAUGCCUAACACAUGCAAGUCGAACGAGACCUUCGGGUCUAGUGGCGCACGGGUGCGUAACGCGUGGGAAUCUGCCCCUUGGUUCGGAAUAACUUCGGGAAACUGAAGCUAAUACCGGAUAAUGACGUAAGUCCAGAGAUUUAUCGCCAAGGGAUGAGCCCGCGUAGGAUUAGCUAGUUGGUGUGGUAAAGGCGCACCAAGGCGACGAUCCUUAGCUGGUCUGAGAGGAUGAUCAGCCACACUGGGACUGAGACACGGCCCAGACUCCUAC